GUAAUUGAAGAACUGUUGGAUGAGUUACACGGAGCAGUAUGGUUCUCCAAACUGGAUUUGCGGUCAGGAUAUCAUCAAAUCCGGCUGGCGCCAGGCGAAGAGUACAAGACGGCCUUCCAAACCCACUCAGGUCACUAUGAAUUCAAGGUGGUCUCCUUUGGAUUGGCUGGGGGCCCGGCUACUUUCAACGGAGGCCUCCACAACACACUCCGGCCCCUGCUGCGCGAAUGUGUGCUACUCUUCUUCGACGACAUUCUCGUUUUCAGUAAAACUCUUGAAGAUCACGUCAGUCACCUGCGACAAGUGUUUCAACUGCUGCAGCGAGAUCAGUGGAAAGUUAAGCUCUCCAAGUGCGAAUUCGGCCAA
rnacentral:rRNA from 1 species